GUGGGGAAUCUUCCGCAAUGGACGAAAGUCUGACGGAGCAACGCCGCGUGAGUGAAGAAGGUUUUCGGAUCGUAAAGCUCUUUCGUUAGGGACGAACGUGCUCUUUGUGAAUAAUGAGGAGUAAUGACGGUACCUAAAUAAGAAGCCACGGCUAACUACGUGCCAGCAGCCGCGGUAAUACGUAGGUGGCAAGCGUUGUCCGGAAUUAUUGGGCGUAAAGCGCGCGCAGGCGGGAUAUCAAGUCUGUCUUAAAAGUGCGAGGCUCAACCUCGUGAGGGGACCGAAACUGGUAUUCUUCAGUGUCGGAGAGGAAAGUGGAAUUCCAAGUGUGGCGGUGAAAUGCGUAGAGAUUUGGAAGAACACCAGUGGCGAAGGCGACUUUCUGGACGAUGUCUGACGCUGAGGCGCGAAAGCUAGGGGAGCGAACGGGAUUAGAAACCCCAGUAGUCC
rnacentral:rRNA from 1 species